UACGUAGGUGGCGAGCGUUGUCCGGAUUUACUGGGCGUAAAGAGCGCGCAGGCGGUCGUUCAAGUCGAGUGUGAAAGCCCCCGGCUCAACUGGGGAGGGUCAUUCGAUACUGAUCGACUCGAAGGCAGGAGAGGGAAGUGGAAUUCCCGGUGUAGUGGUGAAAUGCGUAGAUAUCGGGAGGAACACCAGUGGCGAAGGCGACUUCCUGGCCUGUUCUUGACGCUGAGGCGCGAAAGCUAGGGUAGCAAACGGG
rnacentral:rRNA from 1 species